UGCGAAGGCAUCUUGCUCGGUGACUUACAAGAUUAAAAUUAAUAUGGUUGCUGAUGGUUCUGAAUAAAUACAGCUUUUAUUACAGGUGGGCCAUUUUGAAGAUUGAGACAAUGGUCUUAUAUUUGAGCAUAAAGGAAAUCCUUUGGGAAAGUCUAUUUUAUAUGGCAAAAAUGUGAAUCCCAGAUGGAGUAAAAGGCCUGUACAACAUAGUCAUUGGUGGAAGCAUUUACACCCAAUCCGCUUGAAGAGUUUCAUAUGGACCCUGCUACCACUAAGAAAUCAAGAUGGCAGCCCACUAUUGGGGAAUUGAGGAAAAUGGAUUAACACAAGAGUGCUGUAAUAAUUCACAACCAAGACAGGGUUCUUUUAACAUGGAUUCCAUGAAAUGAACGAUUCUUACCCAACACAAGUGGACAGUGGAUUUGACUUUCUAAAGACUUCUUACAUAUCAUGUACAUUUUUUGAUAUUGGAGAAGAAAGAUGGCACAUUAAUACAGAUGGUAGUUUGUAUUUCUGGAAGUACAAUUUGAUCUGAAUGACCUUAUGGAAUGUUAACUUCAAUAAAAUCUCUUUAACACUUAAAAAUU